GCGACCUGCAACGCCAUAAAAUUGUCUGCCAGAUGAUCAGGUAUCUGACUUAAGGACCACGGGGCCAGAGUACAGCAUAAGAAGCGGGAACUCUGAUGCCUUCUACCUCUCAUUGUUCGACAAGUUCCUCGGCUUUCGAGACAUCUCUGAUGGCAGGUAGUGCCGUAUUUCAGUACUUGCUCCUAAGACAGACUCUAUUGAUCCUUUCCCUAUUCUAUAAGGCAUUUCUCCUUUAAUCCAGAGCAGUAGAAGCUUACGAACAACACCUAAGCAAGGCAGGUGCAUAUACUAAAGUGGAACCUGCCUAAUCAAGUCAAUGGGAAGAUCGUUGAGGAUUGUGUCCAUAAUGCGGUGAUCUUCCUGAUCAACAUUACGAAAGCUUGCAUAUGUUCGCAAUGGGGCAUCAAGUUCAGGGAAGCACAUACGACCAUGCUUAUGGUUCCCUUCGCUUGUGCAUUUUGGACAACUGAAGUAUCCACUGUGACCCUUAAUGCCCAGAAUAUAAGCCUUAUCAGGUGCAUCACAGAAUAUUGCAGCAAGUACCACACGAAUCAGUUGGCUUCCGACAGUAACACCAUGACGCAGGGCCAUUUUCAAGUCAAACACAAACUGCUGUAGGAAGGCAUUAGACUGUAAAGGCUUAGACUGGCCAUAAUAAAUGCCAAUUAGACAUGGCUUACUACUUUCACAAUUUGCUGCUCUGCAGAGAAUAGGCCAGAACUGAUCUCGUGUGCUUUUUGUCAAAAGCAGUCCAUCUACACUCACAUGGAGUAUGAGUGGGUUAUGCACAGGCAGAACAUUUUUCAAUGCAUCCUGAAAGCUCUCAGUUAAAUCAAAAGAAUAAUACUGGCCUGAACCCAUUCGUUUAACACCAUAGGCGUUGGUGUUAAACGAAUGGUGUUGACAAGAGAGCUCUAGCAGAUUUCGGGAGGCCAGAAAAGCAAGCAUGCGAGCGCAUAACCUGCAAUAAAUGUGUGACAGUAACGUGGGGCACAUCUCUCUCUAUGCACCACACCUGCAGCUUUUCUUUGAAGGAAACUGUUUGGCUACUGUCCUUGGGACAAUGUAUUAUCACCUAGGGAGCGCAUUCGUUCAAGAGUUGAAUUACAAGGCCCACCGUCUCUCGGAGGGCUGUCAAGACAUGCACGAACUUCGUCGGUGCUCACAUCUGCCUCCAGAAGUUCAAGUGGAGUAAGAAUACUGCAACUACGUCCACCACCACUCUCAGAAAAUGAAUGCUGAAACGACUGGGCCGCCGCCCUUACCACGCCGUCUGUAGUGGAAUAGGCACUCGGAGCUUCAGUCGGGCACGAAUAUGCUACUUCAACAGAUUAUAUUCUAUACUCCCAACAUCCCCAUAACAAUAUUAAGUUAGGUCUUCUUACACGGCGCGGCGCACGCGCCGGUAGCCGUCAUUCUGGGUAGUGCAGCCAUAUGUUCAAGAUAGCUGUGUCAAACGUACGCACGCGCCCAAGAAAAUCCAGUGGAAUCUCUAUUAGACGAACAGUUUCAACAACGCAUGGACAUUAAUCGGAGGCAAUAAUUUUCGCGCAAGGCAAAGCAAAGAAUGACAUCACCUAAACUUACUCCCACUGUCCAGAUUUGCCGUACACGUGUCCAAAGUCAGCAUGCGCCAACAUUAGAAUAGGGAAACAAAGAAAACGUGUGAAAGGUUCUAAUAAUGCAUACUAAUGCCCAUGCAUUAAUCGCGAGGGUUCAGUAUAUAAAGCACUUACCUCGAAGCUUAAGAAGCCAGGGACUUAGUUCCAAAAACCUUGCUACGAUGCUGGAUAUGUUAGCACUAAUGACACACGUACAGUGCUGUUUGCGUGUGAUCUAAACCGAUCCAAAUGUCAAACAACGCCGCGGAAUGUACCAGCUGUGUUGCCAUGGUGUUGCAAUGAUAGCGAUGGCGCUGGUCAUUACACGCCGAACUCGCACCUUAAAGAUAAAUAUUGCAAUGUUAUUAUUUUUGUUGGGUCAUUACCUAUCUUCUAUAAAAAAUAAUUUAUUUUGGCGCUUCAAAUGUUUUUUCUUUCUUUUUUAAGCUUUUAGUAAUGCUAAACCACGGAUUGUUCAGCAGUUUUCUCUCCUUCAUAGAGUUGUUCACUGAGAAACUGUAUGCUGUCUGUGUGCGGCUUGUGCCGGUACGCGUGUGCAAAACACGUACGGCAGCUGUCAGGUGGUGUCGGUGUAACAAUUCAUUGUAGGAAGGAACAAGUGAGCACAAUAUAUUUGCAUUUAAUGACAUUCACGUAGUUUAUACUUCGUGGAAAAUUUUACAAUUUUGCAUGACCGCUGCGCCGCGCGCGCGCCCGCCACGGGGAAAUAUUGGAGUUCUAGACAAAUAAUGACAGUCAGACAUGAAAACAUCAAUUGUCACUGCUUUUUGACAUUACUAAACUAAUGCAAUGGUGGUGAACUCCCAUAUGCACGAGGGCACCAGUUUGAAGUCCCAAUUAAAGCCGACCAUGGAUAUUUUUGGGAUGAUCCCAAAGGGUACGUCCCUAGGAUGUUCACGGGAGCUCCAUGUUUGGACGGGGGAUGUUUGGACGUUCUAGGGACAUCCCUGGGAUAUCGUGCGUCGUCUGCGAAUACGCAUGGGCCGAGAAACGCGGCCGGGAACUCGGAAUUCACCGUGAAGGCGUUUAUUGUGUUAUAAACAGCCAGCACGAGCCUGUUGCAUACGACUCCAGACUCCGCGCGACUCACGACAGGAAUCGUGAGAAAGUUAUACUUUUGGGUAGAGAUAUGGCUAUUUAGUACAUAAACAAACGAUGCAAGAUGAAGUGACCACUGCAUCUCUGAUUAGCUGUUCGCUGCAGUUUAAAAAGUGCUGCCCCUUGAACUGCAUGUAUUGAAAGGAUAAGACAGAAACUGUGACCCUAUCAUGAAGAGCGGUAUGCCCUUAACAUAUUUAUUUUUGUUUUGCUGUCAAUAUUGCAGUACGAAGUCCUGAGGAAAGACGCCGAAAUGUUUUUCCUAUACUAUAGGAUGCUUCCUAAACAAUAUGACGACCUUCAGACGCUUGUCCGUGAGGACUUCAAGCGUCAUAACCUCUGCCGGGAGCCUCUUAGUUCUAAAGAAAGGCUGGCUAUUACUCUAAGAUACCUUUUCUCGGGAAUGGCCAUCAAGCAGGUGGCUAUGUUGUUCAGGGUGGCGCCAUCAACAUGCCGGCUAUCAUCCAUGAUACUUGCAGAAUCAUCUGGAGCCACUCUACUUGCUUGAGCCACGACCAGAGCACUGGGUAACCACAGCAUGAUACUUCGGCAUCCGCUGGAACUUCCCCAACUGCGUUGGGGCAGUUGAUGGGAAACACGUGCAAAUAACAGUGCCUCCACAUUCUGGCAGCAGGUUUUACUACAAGGUAUCGAACAUGCCGUGAAGUUUUGCAUUAGAAAAACUGAGGUCAGGGUCAGUGGUCUCUUUUGGGAAUCAGUGACCCUGACCUCCAAUAGAGCACAUAAUUACCCCGCCCCCGACCUUCCGUCGAUCAGGUCCCUUCCACGAAAAAAGGAACAUAUGAUGACACGUCAACCGGCUGACACACGAUGCUACCCCACAUUCCUCCGCCAACGUUAUAUAGUACCUCUUUUUUUUCGAUAACAGACCCUCGUUCGUUGCCUUGUCCACCGGCCUUCCAAUAAGCGGGCCACCAAGGCACGCCACCAAGUACCUGUUUGAGAUGGUCACCGCGUGUUGACAAUUAUUAUGAACUUCUACUAUGGCCUAUAGCCAUAAGGAGGGAUCGGAUGUGAAGCGCAUCCACAUGUUGAUAAUGAUGGUUAUUAUUUCGAUACAUAGCUAUACCUAUACAAGACACCUAUACCUAUACUACACCUAUACCUAGACAUCCCUAUACGAGGCAGUGGGCUAUGAUGUGGUGGCCACAUGUGCCAUAAGAAGGAAUGAGGAAAUUUGCGCCAAUAAAAAAAAUUUCCACGUUGCGUAGCACGGGUGACCGUGAGCACAUGCGUGCGCCUGUUUACGCCAAAGGUGAACGAAACGGGCAAAUCUAUAGCAUUUUAUUAACCGCAUCAUCAAAGCUUCGCUUCACACAGAAGUUCAGAGCUGGCAGACCAGCUCUGGGCCGUCCGGCAAGCCGAAGAUGCCGCUCGAGUCCAAGGACUUCGAGCCGUCACCUGAGGCCACCACAGCAAGAACUGCCGUACUAUUCUUUAAUAAAGUUUCUUCUUCUUCUUCUUUUUAUGCCCCUAUACAGGCACGUUGCCCGUUGUCAAUGAUUGCAUCAUCGCAUACAUUACACCAUUGUUUGGCACACUUUGGGAAUUACUGUCCCUAGCGGCAUGGAACCCUACGCACCAGUGCCCUCAUCGUGUUACGAGUCCGUGUGCUUAUUAAUAGAAAAACUAGCAGUUGAAUCCUCACCAUUCGUCUCCCUAACGACCAGACAUAUCCGACACACGACAUGGUAGUGCAUUCGCAAUUUACUUUGAACGAAGAGAGACAUUGAAGUUACCUUGUCUACAUGUACAAUGCAUCAUUGGAAUUUCUUACCGCGAAGAUUUUCAUAAUAUUGCCGUCCCUUGUAAUUCAUUUCCAUUGUAUUAUUUAUUUUCACCCUGAAUAAACGUUGUAUGCGUAGUG